CGUGUGGGGGGGGCGUUUCUAUUAUUCUAUAUUUGCAGCUGCAGCAAGGCUUUUCGACGUCCUUGAUUGCAGAAAGAAUUUGUUGUCGAGUUUUUAAUGUCACAUGCAAAAGAUGUUCUUUUAUUACUUCAGUCAUUGAUGCCCCCUGCCUCAAGAACUAUAACAAUGAGGAGGAACUUCUGGUAGAGUACUGGAAAAGAGGCUACCAGUACUCUUGAGAUCUCAACAUUUUUUAGCAACUUUCAUGACGUGGAUCUAAGGCAGUGUGCGGCAGCUAAAGUACAGGUACAACAAGCUUGGGCUAUGAAGGCGUCUUGGCACCAGCUCCAAUGCAGAAGUGAGGGAGGCCAUCCGGGUACGAGUUAUCAAGUGUAUAGCACAACACUUCCCAUUUAAAUCCAAAUUUCAAUAGUCAUGUACUCACCUGUAACAUUUCCUGUACAUUUGUAUCUCGUAUAAAAGUAUUCAAUCAGUAAUCAAUGAUUU